ACCCGCACAAGCGGUGGAUGAUGUGGUUUAAUUCGAUGCAACGCGAAAAACCUUACCCACCUUUGACAUGUACGGAACCCUUUAGAGAUAGAGGGGUGCUCGAAAGAGAGCCGUAACACAGGUGCUGCAUGGCUGUCGUCAGCUCGUGUCGUGAGAUGUUGGGUUAAGUCCCGCAACGAGCGCAACCCUUGUCAUUAGUUGCUACAUUCAGUUGGGCACUCUAAUGAGACUGCCGGUGACAAGCCGGAGGAAGGUGGGGAUGACGUCAAGUCCUCAUGGCCCUUAUAGGUGGGGCUACACACGUCAUACAAUGGCUGGUACAAAGGGUUGCCAACCCGCGAGGGGGAGCCAAUCCCAUAAAGCCAGUCGUAGUCCGGAUCGUAGUCUGCAACUCGACUACGUGAAGUCGGAAUCGCUAGUAAUCGUGGAUCAGAAUGUCACGGUGAAUACGUUCCCGGGUCUU
rnacentral:rRNA from 1 species